rnacentral:rRNA from 1 species
UGGGGAAUUUUGGACAAUGGGCGCAAGCCUGAUCCAGCCAUGCCGCGUGCGGGAAGAAGGCCUUCGGGUUGUAAACCGCUUUUGUCAGGGAAGAAAUCUUCUGAGUUAAUACCUCGGGAGGAUGACGGUACCUGAAGAAUAAGCACCGGCUAACUACGUGCCAGCAGCCGCGGUAAUACGUAGGGUGCAAGCGUUAAUCGGAAUUACUGGGCGUAAAGCGUGCGCAGGCGGUUUUGUAAGACAGAGGUGAAAUCCCCGGGCUCAACCUGGGAACUGCCUUUGUGACUGCAAGGCUUGAGUGCGGCAGAGGGGGGAUGGAAUUCCGCGUGUAGCAGUGAAAUGCGUAGAUAUGCGGAGGAACACCGAUGGCGAAGGCAAUCCCCUGGGCCUGCACUGACGCUCAUGCACGAAAAGCGUGGGGAGCAAAACAGGAUUAGAUACCCUGGUAGUCCACGCCCUAAACGAUGUCAACUGGUUGUUGGGAAGGUUCCUUCUCAGUAACGUAGCUAACGCGUGAAGUUGACCGCCUGGGGAGUACGGCCGCAAGGUUG